UACAGAGGGUGCAAGCGUUAAUCGGAAUUACUGGGCGUAAAGCGUGCGUGGACGGUUAUGUAAGUCGGGUGUGAAAGCCCCGGGCUCAACCUGGGAAUGCCAUUCGAGACUGCAUAGCUAGGGUGCGGAAGAGGGAAGCGGAAUUUCCGGUGUAGCGGUGAAAUGCGUAGAUAUCGGAAGGAACACCAGUGGCGAAAGCGGCUUCCUGGUCCAGCACCGACGUUCAGGCACGAAAGCGUGGGGAGCAAACAGG
rnacentral:rRNA from 1 species